rnacentral:rRNA from 1 species
CACGUAGGGCGCAAGCGUUGUCCGGAAUUAUUGGGCGUAAAGAGCUCGUAGGCGGUCUGUUGCGUCCGCUGUGAAAACCCGGGGCUUAACCCUGGGCUGGCAGUGGAUACGGACAGACUAGAGGUAGGUAGGGGAGAAUGGAAUUCCCGGUGUAGCGGUGAAAUGCGUAGAUAUCAAGAGGAACACCGGCGGCGAAGGCGGGUUGCUGGGCCGACACUGACGCUGAGGCGCGAAAGCCAGGGGAGCGAACGGG